CGCACGGGUGAGUAACACGUAAGUAAUCUACCUUCGAGUGGGGGAAUAACGUCGGGAAACCGACGCUAAUACCGCAUAAUGCAGCGGCACCUAAUGGUGACAGUUGUUAAAGGAGCAAUUCGCUUGAAGAGGAGCUUGCGGCAGAUUAGCUAGUUGGUAAGGUAACGGCUUACCAAGGCUACGAUCUGUAACCGGUCUAAGAGGACGGUCGGUCACACUGACACUGAAUAACGGGUCAG
rnacentral:rRNA from 1 species